rnacentral:ncRNA from 1 species
AGGAGCCGUAUGAGGUGAAAAUCUCAUGUACGGUUUUGGAACGGAGAAUUCUUUGAAUCGAAUGACGAGUCAGAU